rnacentral:rRNA from 2 species
GCGAACAGAAGGGAGCUUGCUCCCGGAUGUUAGCGGCGGACGGGUGAGUAACACGUGGGUAACCUGCCUGUAAGACUGGGAUAACUCCGGGAAACCGGAGCUAAUACCGGAUAGUUCCUUGAACCGCAUGGUUCAAGGAUGAAAGACGGUUUCGGCUGUCACUUACAGAUGGACCCGCGGCGCAUUAGCUAGUUGGUGGGGUAAUGGCUCACCAAGGCGACGAUGCGUAGCCGACCUGAGAGGGUGAUCGGCCACACUGGGACUGAGACACGGCCCAGACUCCUACGGGAGGCAGCAGUAGGGAAUCUUCCGCAAUGGACGAAAGUCUGACGGAGCAACGCCGCGUGAGUGAUGAAGGUUUUCGGAUCGUAAAGCUCUGUUGUUAGGGAAGAACAAGUGCGAGAGUAACUGCUCGCACCUUGACGGUACCUAACCAGAAAGCCACGGCUAACUACGUGCCAGCAGCCGCGGUAAUACGUAGGUGGCAAGCGUUGUCCGGAAUUAUUGGGCGUAAAGGGCUCGCAGGCGGUUUCUUAAGUCUGAUGUGAAAGCCCCCGGCUCAACCGGGGAGGGUCAUUGGAAACUGGGAAACUUGAGUGCAGAAGAGGAGAGUGGAAUUCCACGUGUAGCGGUGAAAUGCGUAGAGAUGUGGAGGAACACCAGUGGCGAAGGCGACUCUCUGGUCUGUAACUGACGC